CAAAAUGCGAUAAGUAAUGUGAAUUGCAGAAUUCAGUGAAUCAUCGAAUCUUUGAACGCACAUUGCGCCCGCCAGUAUUCUGGCGGGCAUGCCUGUUCGAGCGUCAUUUCAACCCUCAAGCUCAGCUUGGUGUUGGGACUCGCGGUAACCCGCGUUCCCCAAAUCGAUUGGCGGUCACGUCGAGCUUCCAUAGCGUAGUAAUCAUACACCUCGUUACUGGUAAUCGUCGCGGCCACGCCGUAAAACCCCAACUUCUGAAUGUUGACCUCGGAUCAGGUAGGAAUACCCGCUGAACUUAAGC
rnacentral:misc_RNA from 1 species